GACGAACGCUGGCGGCGUGCUUAACACAUGCAAGUCGAACGGAAAGGCCCUGCUUUUGUGGGGUGCUCGAGUGGCGAACGGGUGAGUAACACGUGAGUAACCUGCCCUUGACUUUGGGGUAACUUCAGGAAACUGGGGCUAAUACCGGAUAGGAGCUCCUGCUGCAUGGUGGGGGUUGGAAAGUUUCGGCGGUUGGGGAUGGACUCGCGGCUUAUCAGCUUGUUGGUGGGGUAGUGGCUUACCAAGGCUUUGACGGGUAGCCGGCCUGAGAGGGUGACCGGGCUCAUUGGGCCUGAGAUACGGCGCAGACGCGUACGGGAGGCAGCAGUGGGGAAUAUUGCAGAAUGGGCGGACGCCUGAUGCAGAAACGCCGCGUGCGGGAUGACGGCCUUCGGGUUGUAAACCGCUUUCGCCUGUGACGAAGCGUGAGUGACGGUAAUGGAUAAAGAAGCACCGGCUAACUACGUG
rnacentral:rRNA from 1 species